AUUGAACGCUGGCGGCAGGCCUAACACAUGCAAGUCGAGCGGAGCGGCGGACGGGUGAGUAAGGCCUAGGAAUCUGCCUGGUCGUGAGGGAUAACGUCCGGAAACGGGCGCUAUUGCAACAUCCUAUCAGAUGAGCCUAGGUCGGAUUAGCUAGUUGGUGGGGUAAAGGCAUACCAAGGCGACGAUCCGUAACUGGUCUGAGAGGAUGAUCAGUCACACUGGAACUGAGACACGGUCCAGACUCCUACGGGAGGCAGCAGUGGGGAAUAUUGGACAAUGGGCGAAAGCCUGAGCCAGCCAUGCCGCGUGUGUGAAGAAGGUCUUCGGAUUGUAAAGCACUUUAAGUUGGGAGGCGUUACCUACAGAAUAAGCACCGGCUAACUUCGUGCCAGCAGCCGCGGUAAUUC
rnacentral:rRNA from 1 species